AACGAACGCUGGCGGCAGGCUUAACACAUGCAAGUCGAACGCCCCGCAAGGGGAGUGGCAGACGGGUGAGUAGCACGGGGGAACGUGCCUUUUGGUUCGGAACAACUCCGGGAAACUGGAGCUAAUACCGGAUAAGCCCUUCGGGGGAAAGAUUUAUCGCCAAAAGAUCGGCCCGCGUCUGAUUAGCUAGUUGGUGGGGUAAUGGCCCACCAAGGCGACGAUCAGUAGCUGGUCUGAGAGGAUGGCCAGCCACACUGGGACUGAGACACGGCCCAGACUCCUACGGGAGGCAGCAGUGGGGAAUAUUGGACAAUGGGCGCAAGCCUGAUCCAGCCAUGCCGCGUGAGUGAUGAAGGCCUUAGGGUUGUAAAGCUCUUUCGCCGAGGACGAUAAUGACGGUACUCGGAUAAGAAGCCCCGGCUAACUUCGUGCCAGCCGCCGCCGUAAAAC
rnacentral:rRNA from 1 species